AGCUUGUUGGUGGGGUAACGGCCUACCAAGGCAUCGACGGGUAGCUGGUCUGAGAGGAUGAUCAGCCACACUGGGACUGAGACACGGCCCAGACUCCUACGGGAGGCAGCAGUGGGGAAUCUUGCGCAAUGGGCGAAAGCCUGACGCAGCAACGCCGCGUGCGGGAAGAAGGCCUUCGGGUUGUAAACCGCUUUCAGAAGGAACGAAACUGACGGUACUUUCAGAAGAAGGUGCGGCCAACUACGUGCCAGCAGCCGCGGUGACACGUAGGCACCAAGCGUUGUCCGGAUUUAUUGGGCGUAAAGAGCUCGUAGGCGGUUCGAUAAGUCGGGUGUGAAAACUUUGGGCUCAACCCAAAGCGUGCAUUCGAUACUGUUGUGACUAGAGUUCGGUAGGGGAGUGGGGAAUUCCUAGUGUAGCGGUGAAAUGCGCAGAUAUUAGGAGGAACACCGGUGGCGAAGGCGCCACUCUGGGCCGAAACUGACGCUGAGGAGCGAAAGCGUGGGUAGCAAACAGGAUUAGAUACCCUGGUAGUCCACGCUGUAAACGAUG
rnacentral:rRNA from 1 species